GCAUAGUGAGGUGCGUCUCGGUCCUGAAAAGACGUGCAAGUUGAUUAAUAUCUGUGCUGUGCUUCACAACAUUUGUAAGGCUUGGAACAUCCCUUUGCCUGAUGACAAUGUUGAGGAUGAUGCAGUGGAAGUAGGUGAUGGUGCACAGUUGCAUCUAAAUCCAGGCAUUCCUGCUGCCCGCAAUGGACAUCCAUUCCGGGACUAUAUUGCCAACCUACAUUUUCAAUGAUGCAUGAAGUCACAACAUGUGGACCCUGUCAAGUCAGCAUUGCAUGUAUCUUCAUAUGGAGACUAUAGACAACAAAUUCUCUCUCCGAACUACUUUCUCUUAAGGGAGCAGAAGAUGGCCAUAAUAUCACUUAGCAGUAAUAUAGGAAAUAAAACUACUAGUUGUGGUGAAGGGAUCACCAACACCUCCUCCUGCUGCUGAUGCACCUCCAGGAGCUGAUGCUGUUGGUUGUCCUCCUGGUGGGGGUACUGCUGAUGGUCCUGCUGGUGGUCUAGCUGGUGCUGCUGCUGG